UGGAAGAAGGCAUUGAUGUGUCAGACGACGAGGCGCAAAGGUUUAGAGAUAACGAUGUACAACAUUGAAGGUACAGUUGAAGGUCCAGUGUCCCAAGCAAACCAGAGUUCUAUACCUUCUUGCCUGCAGUUAUUUCCAUUCCAAAAUUCCCACAAGAUGUCCAGAGUCGCUUGGAUCUCAAAGAACCAGUCCAGAAAGAACAGAAGUACCGAAACAAAAUAAUUGGGACUCUUUAUGAAAUGCUGUCACAGUACACAAUGUACCCAACCCACUCAGACUACAUCCAGGUCAUCAAAGCCCUGAU